UACGUAGGGUGCAAGCGUUGUCCGGAAUUAUUGGGCGUAAAGAGCUCGUAGGCGGUCUGUCGCGUCUGCUGUGAAAACUCAGGGCUUAACCCUGAGCUUGCAGUGGGUACGGGCAGACUAGAGUGCGGUAGGGGAGACUGGAAUUCCUGGUGUAGCGGUGAAAUGCGCAGAUAUCAGGAGGAACACCGAUGGCGAAGGCAGGUCUCUGGGCCACUACUGACGCUGAGGAGCGAAAGCAUGGGGAGCGAACAGG
rnacentral:rRNA from 1 species